AUGAUCCUGGAAAAGGAGAGCAACCUGAGAUGCCCCAGGUUAGGGACAAGCCUGUGUGACCUUGUGUUUCAACAAAUGGAUCACAAACAAUGCAGCUCGCAGCUCUCUGGCCUUCCCCACCCAGUCGGAGUUCUCCGCUCCACAUCAACGCCUCUCCCGCUGGCAAGUGGGGGAAGUGUUCCAGUUCAGAAAGACUUUCUGGCUGAAGCUGAUCGAACAAACGCCCUGAUAUUCUUUGUACACCAGCAUCACUCACCCUUGAACUUGGAAGACAGCUCACAGGGCAGUCAGUACAGCCUUGCAGCUUGCAGAGAAGAAGGAAUCUUGAAAGUUCCAAGUUCCAAUCUCUCCUUCCCUUCCUCUUUCCUUGACUUCUCUGGAACAAGCUAUCUAAAAGAAGAAAUAGUCACAUUACAAUUUUUUUUUUUUUUUUUUUCCUGGGCUCAUGUGAAUAUUGCUCCAGGGACAAGAAGAAAAAAAAAUGUCUUCUCUAUUUCCUUAAGAAGGUCAGCAAGACAGAGCAGUUAUAUUUCAUAUGCAGCCUCUCCAAGGACAUUCAUUUUCUCCACCAGAGCCCCAAGGUGGGCAAGGAGGGCCAGUUUUAUGCAGCGUCUGUUGUGUACAGCAUUCAGGACAACGUCCACUUGGAUCCCGGGCUCUCCUCACAGAUGGAGGAGAUAAAGGAAGGUCCCUCUCCUGGUCUCCCUGCCAGGGAGGCUGUUGCUGACAGAGGGUAAGGGGCCUCCCAGAGUCCUCCUCAGGUUGGGGCAGAAGGUUGGUAUUGCUGACCUCGCAUAAGCUUUUACCUGAACUUGGGCUCUUGCCUGUCUUUGUUCUGAGGUAAGAUGGUGUGUGUGCACGCGUGUGUGCGUGUGUGGGUUUGGAGGAUGUAUGAGGCAAGUUCAAGGUUGCAGGCAGGAAGCGCUAUAGCUAUUUUAUCUCUGUACAUGUCAUCUUGUCAAAAAAUUCUGAGACUCUUCAAGUCCCAGGACCCUCACAAGUGAGGUCUCAAUGUCAACCCACCAGCAGCUUGACUAGCUACGGGAAUGGGAAUGGAGUUGCCUGGGCAGCUGAGUGAAGUGCUGGCCUCCGGUGCCCAUACCUGCUUGCCUGUGCCCAGGGGUAGAGCCUGGCUGUCAGGAGGGCUGCUGUGGGGGAGGCCUGGCACCUCAGGAGCCUCCUCUGUCACCUGCUUGCUCAGAUCCUAGGGACAGGAUGUCUUGGCCUCCUGUUCCUUGGAGUAGAGGGCAAGUUCUUGGUUGCAAACAAGAGGAAAUUGUUCUGGGUGGAAUAAAUGGAAAGAAAAUUUGUAGAGGGCCAUCAGGGCCAAGGGAUGUUCAGGUGGUCUGGGAGAGUAAAAGACAGGGAGGACAAUUAUUGAUUUUUAGCAGAUGUCUGGCCAGGACAUCACCCCUCUGCUACAUGGGGCUGUCCUGCCUCUCCCAGCUAUUCCCUAUGGCCCCUGCUACUGGACACCAUUUCCCUGUGUUCUCAUCUCCAGGGCCAAGGGUCCUUGAGUGCCACUCUCUCUGUCUCUUACCCACCCAGAACCAGAGGCCCACGUGGGAGCAGGGGAUGGGUUGGGCCCAGCCCACAUACCAGGGCUGGGGCGUGGUAGGGUCUGUUUUUUGUUUUUGUUUUGUUUUGUUUGUUUGUUUGUUUUUUAGGGGAGUUUGGACAGGGAAAAAAGGCAUAUGUUCAUCAGAGGAAUGCUGAAGAAUCUGGCACAUCUUUUGUGGGGGAAUUAAUCAGAGUAACAAGGCUUAAUCAUGUUUUUCAAAUAACAGGUUUUUUCCCCCUUUUUCCUUCCAGAAUGUGAUGGACAGAUGGCAGAUGGAGAAUGAAUGGGCUUAAAUUACUGCAGGAGGGUGGAGAGAAGAUGUGUGAAGGAGUUUCCUGAUGGUGGUGGGUGGGCUCUGGGCCCCAGGGUGGGGUGACUCUGCAGCUGGUAGGCCCUCCCUGUGAAGAGAAAAGGGGAUCUCCCCAGUGACUCCUUUUCCUAUUGCUUCUUCUUGGAGACCUGGAGGCCCCUUAACUCUAGGAGGAUUGGGGCAGCAUCCUCUCCUGAGAUACAUGGAGGGGCAUAAUGAUGGGAGCAGGUAGCAGAGGCUGAGCCUGGGGCUCUUCAUCUGUGAUUGUGCAGGAAGACACUAAUGGGGCCUUUCCCUAUUAGCCCUAAGGAAUUAGACUGAAAGGAAACUCCUGAUCUGAAAUGGUGGCAUUUGCUAAGUUAGAAAAUGGAAGUACCACCCAGUCUGGGGGAUCCCAUAGGCACCCAAGAGUGCACCAAGCCACUAGGACUGAGUUCACCUGAGAGUCCCACCCUGCUCGGAAUAUGCAGACUUGGUGUCCUGUCCCUUUAGAGCACUCCAUGCCUGGAAGUGCCACGGCCCACAUGGAAUGGGCCCAGCCAACAACUCUCAAGGAGCCCCAGCAACGAAUGAUGAGCAUCUCCCCUGAACCCAUCUCCCCCCAUCUCCCCAUGCCCGGUGUUUAAAGUGAAUUGUAACAAAUAUCUGAUAAAUGAAUAAACCUGUAAAUGGAAUCAAAAACCUUAUGAACUUGAAGGAGAAGUAGGAGUCCCAGGUCUGUUAAGUCUAAAUUGCAUAAAUCUGAUCAACUCCCUGACAGUUUCUGCCAAUGGCUUUUGAAGAGGAAGAAAAGGGGUGAGCAGAGAAAUUGGGCAGAGGAGGGGGAAGAGCGAGGGGCAGGGGAGGCAGGCAUGACUCAGUAAUUAAGCUAUCACCAGGAGUCCCCAGUGUUCCUUAGCUGGACUAAUAAAUGGAUGACAAUAGGAGUUCCUUGCAAGUCUGUCUGCUCCUAUGUGUCUGCCCAGAGGACACCUUUAGAGAAUGAGAGAUUUGCAUAAAAUGGGGCCAAAGUCUCCUUUUGGGCCUUUCUGGACAAGGAGCUGAGGAAGAACUGUGGCAUCCUGGAAUCAGCUACUGGGCCUAGAUGAGUUCAGCUGCUAGGAUGGAGUCCAUCUGGUUGGGUAGCUGGAGCUGGCGGCAGGGAGGUCACAUUCAGGAUGCGCUCAAGGGCUCUCGAUUUGGCCUCUGCCACUUUUUGUUCUGUUGGGCAAAUUACUUCCUGCAGUGGUUUUAAACAUGGCCACAGACUUCUUUAACACUCAUCCUAGUGAGAGGUGGUGGUGGUGGAUCUGUGUCCUCUUCUCUUGAAUCUAGGUGGCUUUGUGACUCCACUAAUACAGAACAGUGGCAUUGAUGCUGUCUGACUUUUCAGGCUGGGCUGCAAAAGGUUGUGCAACUUCUGCCUGAGUUUCUUGGGACACUGUCGUUGGGGGAAAACAGGCCCUAUUUAGGAAAUCCAAUUGCCCAGAGAGUGCCAUGCUGGAGAGGUGUUCCUGUUCAAGGCCAUGCCCCACUGAGCUCCCGGCCAGUGGCCAACAUCAAUGGCCAGCCGUGGGAAUGAACCUCGUGAGCCACCGAGUCUCGCCCAGCCUUUAGAUGACCGCAGUUCCAGCCCGUGUGCGACUGCAGCAGCUAAGUCACAGCUGCCUAAUCAAACUCUCCCCAAAUUUCUGACCUGCAAAAUUACAAACACUGUAAAAUUAUUGUUUUAAGCUGCUAAUUCAGGAGUAACUUGUCAAUAGCAACCAAAACACGCCCCCUCUUGGGUUUCAGUUUUUUUUCCUGAACCAUGAAGGGUUACACUAGAUCAUUUUUAAAACCGUAUUUUGAAAGUUUUAAAUAGUAGAUGAACUUUUUUCAGUUGUUUUUAUUGUAGUAAAAUAUACAUAAAAUUUACCAUCUUAAACAUUUUUAAGUGUACAGUUCAGUGGUAUUGAAUAUAUUCACAAUGUUGUGUAACCAUCAUCACCAUCCAUCUCCAUAACUCAUUUCAUCCUGCAAAACUGAAGCUCUGUACACAUUAAAUAAUAACUCCCUCUUUCCCUUUCUCCUCCAGCCCCUGACAUCCACCAUUCUACUUUCUGCCUCUAUGAUUUAGACUACAGGUAUCUCGCAUAAGUGGAAUCAUACAAUGUUUGCCUUUUGGGGCUGGUUUAUUUCACUCAGCAUGAUGCUUUCAUGGUUCAUCCAGGUUGUAGUAAGUACCAGGAUUUCCUUCCUUUUUAAGACUGGAUAAUAUUUCAUUGUAUGAUAUACCACAUUUUGCUUAUCCAUUCAUUUGUUGAUAGACACUUUUGUGUCUUCCGUGUUUUAGCUAUUGUGCAUUAAUGCUGGUGUGAACAGGAGUGUACAAUGGAAAGAACCUGCUUCCAAUUAUGUCAAAUAGAUACCCUGAAGUGGAAUUGCUGGUUUGCAUGGUAAUUUUAUUUUUAAUUUUCUGAGAAACCACCACACUGUUUUUCACAGUGGCUGUCCCAUUUUGCAUUCCUGGUACCAGCGUAUGAGGAUUCCAGUUCUCCACACCCUCACCAACACUUGCGCGCUCUCUCUCUCUCUCUCUCUAUUUUUUACAAUAGCCAUGAUAAUGGAUAUGAAGAGGUGUCCCAUUGUUGCUUUGAUUCACAUUUCUCUAAUGAUUAGUGAUGUUGGACAUCUUUUCAAAGCAUUUUUUUUUUAAAGGAGUUCAAAUGCAUGAAAGGAUAACGGAAAUUAAACAAUUUUCUUCCCUAUUCUUGAGUUCUUCUCACCACUGAGAGGUAACUAACAACAUAUGACUGAUUCUUCCAGAAAUGUUUGAUGUGAUUACAACAUAAUUAUAUCUUUAUAAAAUUACACAUAGAAUUAUAUCAUAGUUAAUUUUUAUAAUUUCCUUUUUUCACUUACUAAUACAGAUUGGAGAUAUUUCCAUACCAGUAUACAUAGGUCUACUUCAUUCUUAAUGUCUGCAUAAUUCCAUGGCAUGGCUGGGUCAACAUUUACUUCUCUAGUCACUGUUGACUUUUCGGUUGCUUCUAGGUUGUUUGGUUGGUAUUUUUUGCUAUUGUAAUACUACAUUGACUAUUAUUGUGCACUUGUUUAUGCUUUUGUAGGUCAAAUUCCUAGAAGUACAGUUUCUGGGUCAAAGGAUAUAUGCAUUUACAAUUUUGAUAAUUAUUGCCAAAUUUGUCUUUUAAAGAGGUGGUACACAUUUAUACCUUCACAGUGAGGGAGCUAGUAUCCUGCUACUUUUAUUAUCUUUCAAGUUUUGUCAAUCUGCUGGAAGAAAAUAGUGUUCUGUUUUCAAGUAUUCAUUUCUUUAAUUGUGAAGUUGAGCAUUUUUAUAUGCACUUUGAUGAUUUUUUAUGCAAAAUUUCAAUCAUAUGCAAAAGUAGAGAGACUAUAUCAUGAACUCCCAUAAGUAGAUCACUCCAAAUCAACAGUCAUUACGGGUUUACCCCUUGUUUCAGGAUUGAUGAUUUUUAAUUUCUGUUUUUCUUUGAAUAGCUAAUUCAUAUCCUUUGCCAAUUCCAUAGGGCUGUUCAUAUUUUGUUUUUUAAAAAAAUGGUUUGUAAGAG
rnacentral:lncRNA from 10 species